rnacentral:rRNA from 1 species
AACGAACGCUGGCGGCAGGCCUAACACAUGCAAGUCGAGCGCCCCGCAAGGGGAGCGGCGGACGGGUGAGUAACGCGUGGGAACGUGCCCUUUGCUACGGAAUAGCCUCGGGAAACUGGGAGUAAUACCGUAUAAGCCCUACGGGGGAAAGAUUUAUCGGCAAAGGAUCGGCCCGCGUUUGAUUAGGUAGUUGGUGGGGGAAUGGCCUACCAAGCCGACGAUCCAUAGCUGGUUUGAGAGGAUGAUCAGCCACACUGGGACUGAGACACGGCACAGACUCCUACGGGAGGCAGCAGUGGGGUAUCUUAGACAAUGGGCGCAAGCCUAAUCUAGCCAUGCCCCGUGAGCGAUGAAGGCCUUAGGGUUGUAAAGCUCUUUCGUGGGGGAAGAUAAUGACUGUACCCCAAGAAGAAGCCCCGGCUAACUCCGUGCCAGCAGCCGCGGUAA